rnacentral:rRNA from 1 species
UACAGAGGAGCCAAGCGUUGUCCGGAUUGACUGGGCGUAAAGCGCACGCAGGCGGAUGCGCGCGUGGGGUGUGAAAUCUGGCCGCUUAACGGCCAGGCGCCAUCCCAUACGGCGCGUCUGGAGUGAUGCAGAGGUCGAUGGAAUUGCCGGUGUAGUGGUGAAAUGCGUAGAGAUCGGAAGGAACAUCAGUGGCGAAGGCGACCACCGUGGACUGAGAC